UGAGGAAUAUUGGUCAAUGGGCGCAAGCCUGAACCAGCCAUGCCGCGUGAAGGAUGACGGCGCUACGCGUUGUAAACUUCUUUUGUGCAGGAAGAAACACUUCUACGUG
rnacentral:rRNA from 1 species